rnacentral:rRNA from 1 species
UACGAAGGUGGCAAGCGUUACUCGGAAUUACUAGGCGUAAAGGGCAGGUAGGUGGUUCGGCAAGUCUGUUGUGGAAGCUCCCGGCUUAACUGGGAGAGGCCAACGGAAACUGCCGAACUUGAGUGUAGGAGAGGGUAUUGGAAUUCCCGGUGUAGCGGUGAAAUGCGCAGAGAUCGGGAGGAACACCAAUGGCGAAAGCAGAUACCUGGACUAUUACUGACACUAAGCUGCGAAAGCUAGGGGAGCAAACAGG